GUGAAUUUCCCGAUGCCUUAG
rnacentral:miRNA from 1 species